CUUGGUCAUUUAGAGGAAGUAAAAGUCGUAACAAGGUCUCCGUUGGUGAACCAGCGGAGGGAUCAUUACUGAGUUGCAAAACUCCAAACCCUUGUGAACCUUACCCUGUGCCUGUUGCUUUGGCAGGCGGCCCCAGGGCGGGGCUGUAGCCUGUAUUUUUCAGGCGCCUGCCGAAGGACCAAAAAACUCUUAUAAUUUAGUGGAUCUCUGAGACGUGACAAAAUAAGUCAAAACUUUCAACAACGGAUCUCUUGGUUCUGGCAUCGAUGAAGAACGCAGCGAAAUGCGAUAAGUAAUGUGAAUUGCAGAAUUCGGUGAAUCAUCGAAUCUUUGAACGCACAUUGCGCCCGCUAGUAUUCUAGCGGGCAUGCCUGUUCGAGCGUCAUUUCAACCCUCAAGCUCUUUAUAGCUUGGUGUUGGGGCACUAUAGCUGCUAUAGGCCCUGAAAAUCAGUGGGCGGGCUCGCCGACACUCCGAGCGUAGUAAUAUAUUUCUCGCUUAGGACGUUUUGGCGGGGUUCUAGCCGUAAAACAAACCCUUUAUGCAAAAGGUUGACCUCGGAUCAGGUAGGAAUACCCGCUGAACUUAAGCAUAUCAAUAAGCGGAGGA
rnacentral:rRNA from 1 species